rnacentral:snoRNA from 1 species
AUCCUUUUGUAGUUCAUAAGCGUGAUGAUUGGGUUUUCACGCGCACGCAUGAGAUGUGCCUUCCUCAAACCUUGUUAUGACGUUGGCACAUUACUUGUCUGACA